rnacentral:rRNA from 1 species
GAUGAACGCUAGCGACAGGCUUAACACAUGCAAGUCGAGGGGCAGCGAGGGAGUGCUUGCACUUCUGUCGGCGACCGGCGCACGGGUGAGUAACACGUAUGCAACCUGCCCUUGUCAGGGGGAUAACCGGUGGAAACGCCGACUAAUACCCCAUAGCAUCAUGAAGAGGCAUCUUUUUGUGAUUAAAGAAUUUCGGAAACGGAUAGGCUCGCGUGACAUUAGUUAGAUGGCGGGUAACGGCCCACCAUGACUACGAUGUCUAGGGGUUCUGAGAGGAAGGUCCCCCACACUGGAACUGAGACACGGUCCAGACUCCUACGGGAGGCAGCAGUGAGGAAUAUUGGUCAAUGGUCGAGAGACUGAACCAGCCAUGCCGCGUGAAGGUGACGGCCCUAUGGGUCUUAAACUUCUUUUGCAAGGGAGCAAUAAGGUCUACGUGUAGACCGAUGAGAGUACCUUGCGAAUAAGCAUCGGCUAACUCCGUGCCAG